GGCGCUGUAGCUCAGUUGGGUGGAGCGCCUAUCUAAUAAACAGAAGGUCAUGGAUUCAAUUCCCAUCGGUUCCU
rnacentral:tRNA from 1 species